AGAGGCGUGCAUUAGCCCCAUAAUGAUUGGCUUGUCGUGCUAUCACGGCUUUCCCCGGGCUGCGUUCAGUACGUUUUGACGUUCAAUUGAACAGAAACGGUGCUGUACUGAACAACCAGUUGAAAAACGGAGAUGGGUUGGUUGUGGAUUGUGGAACGCUGUCAGCCACACCUAGCAUCACUGAGGUAUAAUGGGAAGAUUCGAUUAUGCUGAGCCGCGGGGCACCUGGCCCGUCACGUCAUCGGGCGAAAGCUGAGGGGGAGGCGCACCAUUCUCAAAUCGAACAGACACCUGGCUCAUGCCCGGGAGCCAGCCCGCUUCCAAAUCGAAUUGAUUCAAUUUUCAGCGGAUACAAAAUAUGCCUACACUGGCGACCAGGCGGGAUGAAUUGAAACCCACCAAGAACGCUCUCCACACCUACCAAACCGGAGCAAACGUACCUCAAAGUCUGUUCAACGUUUUUAGGACACUUGUCGUUCAGUAGAAACCGUUCGGCCACGUAGCAAACGUUCAAGUGAACUGAACGCACCUCCAGUGACUCCCCAAMCAGAAGGACAAAUGGUUGAAGAUGUUAACAUACUGGGAAACACAAAGCUUUAUCAGUAAUCAUCACUUAUUGUAACYAUAUUAAAUAUCCAGGCUCAGCGAUGACUUGCAUCUUACAAUGAGUAUGAUGAACACUUUGCCUUCCCGGCACUAGGACUGCCAACUAAAAAAWAUAUAUACAUUUCUGUUGGGUCAGGUAAUAUUAGAGAAUGAUGUGAGGGGGGCUGAUGGGUGGAAGAUUUGUGUUGAUUGUGGAAGCAUAUUCAUUCUGCAGUACUUCUAAACACUAGUAAACAAGCAGCAGAUCAUUUGAAAAGACAGUGGAUAUAAUGGCUAAAAUGACAAAUCUAGGCAUGUAUCUCUUCAAACAGGGAUGUAAAGGCCAACUUGAGCAAUGUCUGGGCAAAAAUAUUCUUACAUAUGUGAUGAAUAAAACGUGUAGAAUGGGUGAUGGUGUUCAUUUUCUGAAUUCCAUUUUSUCCUUAACUUUUACACUGUUGAUCGAGACGUCAAAAACCUGACCAGUGGUCUAACCGAGUGCAUCUCUGUAUUACCAGUCAUGUGAAAUCCAUAGAUUAGGGCCUAAUGAAUUUAUUUCAAUUUCCUUAUAUGAACUGUAGCUUAGUAAAAAUCUUUAAAAUUGUUGCAUUUAUAUAGUUUUGUUCAGUAUAAAAUACAUGCACAGGAUAGCAUAUAAACAAUUCACACAUUCUACAGCCACUCUGAUGCUCAUGGGCUAAAUAAAAAUGUUCAUCAGCAGGGGAGCCGGUAGAGCCAGUUCCUCUGGGAACGACACUCCACAUGAUUGAGACCACAGUGGAUGAGGAGGUAGCAAUGGUUUUCAGCAGUUAAAAUUUAAUACCCCCCUUUCUCUACAGAAACCCAGGUAAAAAUUAAAAUACAACAGCAGCAAUUACAGUAAAAAAUAAAAAGCCUAAAUAUAUAUAUAUA